rnacentral:rRNA from 1 species
AUUGAACGCUGGCGGCAGGCCUAACACAUGCAAGUCGAACGAGUGGCGGACGGGUGAGUAAUGUAUGGGAAACUGCCUGAUGGAGGGGGAUAACUACUGGAAACGGUAGCUAAUACCGCAUACCAUCGGAUGUGCCCAGAUGGGAUUAGCUAGUAGGUGGGGUAAAGGCUCACCUAGGCGACGAUCCCUAGCUGGUCUGAGAGGAUGACCAGGCACACUGGAACGGAAACACGGUCCAGACUCCUACGGUAGGCAGCAGUGGGGAAUAUUGCACAAUGGGCGCAAGCCUGAUGCAGCCAUGCCGCGUGGAUGAAGAAGGCCUUCGGGUUUUAAAGUACUUUCAGCGGGGAGGCGUUACCCGCAGAAGAAGCACCGGAUAACUCCGUGCCAGCAGCCGCGGUAAUUC